AACGAACGUUAGCGGCGCGCCUAACACAUGCAAGUCGAACGCGACAGGGGCAACUCUGUUGAGUGGCGCACGGGUGAGUAACACGUAGGUAAUCUCCCCCCGAGUGGUGGAUAACCUUCCGAAAGGAGGGCUAAUACAGCAUAAGACCACGGCUUCGAAAGGAGCUGAGGUCAAAGCGGAGGAUCGCAAGACUUCGCGCUUGGGGAUGAGCCUGCGGCCCAUCAGGUAGUUGGCGGGGUAACAGCCCACCAAGCCUAAGACGGGUAGCUGGUCUGAGAGGAUGAUCAGCCAACCUGGAACUGAGACACGGUCCAGACUCCUACGGGAGGCAGCAGUGGGGAAUCUUGCGCAAUGGACGAAAGUCUGACGCAGCGACGCCGCGUGGGUGAUGAAGGCCUUCGGGUUGUAAGCCCUGUGGGGAGGGACGAAUAAGUUUCAGCUAAUACCUGAAGCGAUGACGGUACCUCCUUAGCAAGCACCGGCUAACUCUGUGCCAGCCGCCGCCGUAA
rnacentral:rRNA from 1 species